AGACUCCGGUCCCACGGCGCUUGAACGUUUGCCAAGUCACCCUGGAGCUGUCGGCCGCGACGCAGGCGCCCGGAGAAAGUAAAGGCCAAGCAGUGGAUUUGCUGGGUCAUUUGGAUUCCUUUGGGAAAAGAAGAUCUCUGUCUUAAGCCAAAGAAAAUACAAUUCAUUAGUCCUUGGUGAAAAUGAAGUUCUGGAAACCAACAGGUUGGUGUUCUUGACCCAUCAGCACCCUGAGCACUUGUGUCUUGUAACAAAGAGUAUGAAGACUUGGAGUAACAAUCCUUUCAACAAACAUUUACUGACUGUCUACCAUGUGUCUCACGUGUGGCUGGAGAAAACAGCACUAUACAAAGAGACACACUUCCUGUCUUUCUAGAGCUCUAGGUCUAGCAAGAAAGGAAACUAUUAAAUAAACAAGGAACACUUUUUUAAAAUAAAAUCGUGGUAUUGCAAGGUAAAGUAUACGGUGUAUUAUUGCCAGAUCAGACCUAGUCCAGGAAGUUUCCUUAUGGAAAUGACAUUUAAAAUAUCCCCCUGGUGAUGGGAAAAGAAAGUGUGGAAAAGGCACACA